ACGAUCGCCUUCGUACUCAUAAGUUGUUUUCAAUGAUAGAGAUUCUGAAUCGAUGAUCCAUACCGUUAAAUAUUAUCUAGAGCAUUUAAAAUUUCUAGAAAUCAAAUUAUAAUUUUUCGAUAUUAUUUACCUUAUGAUCAAAAGCUCACAAAAUUGACAAUUUUUAACAGCCGGUAUGAGAUAUUUGCUAGUUUAACGUUGAAAAAGAAUCGGAAUACGUUGAAUUUUUUAUAGAAAAUUCUAUUCACUGCCUAAAUAAAGAUCAAUAACUCCGAUCUUAAAUUGAAGGAUCCGAUCAUCCAUUUUUAGGAUGUCAUUCGAUUUUAACCAUUCAUUUUAUACCCGCUUGAUGGACUUUAUAAAGAUUUUGAAAAAUUAC
rnacentral:lncRNA from 1 species